rnacentral:rRNA from 1 species
AUGGCGGCUACGCUCCUCCGCCGGGCGCUCCAGCUCCGCCGCGCCCUCCCCUCUCCAGCUUCCUCGCGCGCCCUCCUCCCCGCGGCCUCCAGCCGUCUCCUCUCCGUCACCGCCUCCACCCAGCAGAACACCGCCGGCACCGCCAUCGACCUCUCCAACGACGAGAGCCGCCGCCGCCUCGUCAACAGUCUGAUGUACAGGAGCAAGCAGAGGGGCUUCCUGGAGCUGGACCUGGUGCUCGGGACCUGGGUGGAGCAGCACGUCCGCUCCAUGGACGAGGCCAACAUCCGCUCCCUGCUUCAGAUCCUCGACCUCGAGAACCCAGACUUGUGGAAAUGGCUUACUGGUCAAGAGCAACCGCCAGAGACUGUAAACUCUAAUCCUGUAUUUGCUGCCAUUAAGUCGAAGGUCACGGAUAACCUGAGCAAGCACUCUUCCCCAGAGACCCGGUCAGCGCCUGGCCAGCCUUGGGUGAGAGGGUGGGAUGACAAGGACAAGAGGGGUCUGGAUGGACCCAAGUAUGGAAACCAGUGA